rnacentral:rRNA from 1 species
AGUGAACGCUGGCGGCAGGCCUAACACAUGCAAGUCGAGCGGCAGCGCGGGGCAACCUGGCGGCGAGCGGCGGACGGGUGAGGAAUGCAUCGGGAUCUACCCUGUCGUGGGGGACAACGUAGGGAAACUUACGCUAAUACCGCAUGAUCUGGAGACAGCAAAGCCGGGGACUUUCGGGCCUGGCGCGAUGGGAUGAAUCGAUGUCCGAUUAGCUAGUUGGCGGGUAAGAGCCCACCAAGGCGACGAUCGGUAGCUGGUCUGAGAGGACGACCAGCCACACUGGAACUGAGACACGGUCCAGACUCCUACGGGAGGCAGCAGUGGGGAAUAUUGGACAAUGGGGGCAACCCUGAUCCAGCCAUGCCGCGUGGGUGAAGAAGGCCUUCGGGUUGUAAAGCCCUUUUGUACGGGACGAAAAGCGUACGGUGAACAUCCGUGCGUGCUGACGGUACCGUAAGAAUAAGCACCGGCUAACUUCGUG